CUCAGGCUGAAGAGCUUCUGCAGACUCUCCACUUUCAUACUGAUUAGAAGUGCUUGAGAAACAUCAUAGCAGUGGUGAUGAGCACUGUCUGGGCCCUCGCUCUGCGUUCUCUGCCAUUCACGAAUCCCUGACAAGCCCGAGGAAUGGAUUUAGAAGCGUCCACUUUACUGAAAGAUACGGAGCCAUAAAUAGUAUAAGAACAUGGAAGACCUUUACCUGCAAGUCAGAAAACCUG
rnacentral:lncRNA from 1 species